rnacentral:lncRNA from 1 species
CUGGAGACCUGUGGAAGACUGUGUGGAACACUCCUCAGGAGCAAGGAAAACUGAGACAGAGUCUUGCUGUGUCGCCAGCCAGAGUGCAAUGGCACGAUCUCGGUUCACCACAACCUCCGUCCCUUGGGUUCAAGCGAUUCUCCUGCCUCAGCCUCCUGAGUAGCUGGGACUACAGGUGCUCACCACGCCCAGCUAAUUUUUGUAUUUUUAGUAGAGACGGGGUUUCACCAUGUUGGCCAGUAUGGUCUCAAUCUCUUGACCUUGUGAUCCACCCACCUCAGCCCUCCAAAGUGCUGGGAUUACAGGCGUGAGCCACCGCUCCGGGCCAAGACUCUAAUCUUUCUAUAGUGUUUGCUUAACCUAAUUCAUGAUAAUUUAUUUCUGCGAUUUCCAUGUUUUCUUUUUUAAUUGCUACUUUAUUUUACUGAGGGUUUUCCCUGCAUUUUAUCUGAGAGAAUACUUGUGGCCUGUCUUUAAGAAACAGCUUUGAAGUAGAUUUACCAGGUGACUUAAUGGUAAUCCCUGUCUUAGGAAUAAUAUGAUGUAUAUUGUUAAAAUUAACAGUAUAUUCAUUUUAACCUCAAACCUGGGAUAGCCGAAGGACUAAAAUUUCUCUUUGGAGAUAUAUACGUGUAAAACAUAGAGCCUAGACAGAGACAGACAAACUUCCUUGCUAUCUUCCUGUGAUGCUGGGCAAUUUAAAAAUUUAAUCAUCUAUCAAAUGUGUAGACUUUUGAGGGCCCCUGUUCUGCUCCAUUCUCUCAGUUCCCGUUCUUUGUCAUGCAUAGGUUGCAUAGGCCAUGCAUGUCCUCUGUCUCAUCUUGUAAAUACAACCUGAGUUUUGAAAAUACCGGGAGGAAAAGUACAUCGCCUCAGGUUCCACUCACAUGCUUACCCUUUGGUUUUUGGUUUCCAUCUUAUUUCUGGUACCUACAGGUUUCCUUUUCUUUGUUGAAAACGUAGCUAUGCAUUUAAAAUGUUUUGUUAUAUGUUACCAGCCCAUUUUGUUAUAUGCUAACCAUGUUACAUGUUACAUUUAGUUAUUUACACUUUUAGAGUUUCUAGUUAUCUUAAUCAGCCAUCCUGCUAAAAAUUGAAGUUGCAUUUUAUAUAUCUUUAAGAAUCAUUUGGAAAGAUAAUUUAUCUUUUUAAUGGGAAUAACAAUGACUAGCAAGCUUAUUUUGAUAAAAUUAGAUGCUGUUUUGUAUACUGCUAAAAUAUAAUAUUUUUAAAAUGUGCACCACAUAAAAUGUGUGACUGUAUAUUUGUG